CCUACGGGAGGCUGCAGUGGGGAAUAUUGGGCAAUGGGCGCAAGCCUGACCCAGCAACGCCGCGUGAAGGAAGAAGGCUCUCGGGUUGUAAACUUCUUUUAUCAGGGACGAAGCAAGUGACGGUACCUGAUGAAUAAGUCACGGCUAACUACGUGCCAGCAGCCGCGGUAAUACGUAGGUGGCAAGCGUUAUACGGAUUUACUGGGUGUAAAGGGCGUGUAGGCGGGAAAGCAAGGCAGAUGUGAAAACCAUGGGCUCAACCUGUGGCCUGCAUUUGAAACUGUUUUUCUUGAGUACUGGAGAGGCAUGCGGAAUUCCUAGUGUAGCGGUGAAAUGCGUAGAUAUUAGGAGGAACACCAGUGGCGAAGGCGGUCUGCUGGACAGCAACUGACGCUGAGGCGCGAAAGCGUGGGGAGCAAACAGGAUUAGAUACCCGAGUAGUC
rnacentral:rRNA from 1 species